AGACGCUACGGACUUAAAUCCGUCGACUUUAGAAAUCGUGAGGGUUCAAGUCCCUCUAUCCC
rnacentral:tRNA from 1 species